rnacentral:rRNA from 1 species
GCAAGUCGAAUGAGUUUAUACUCAUGGCGGACGAGGUAGGAACACGUAGGUACGUACCCCAAAGUCGAGGAUAAUCUGGAGAAAUCCAGGAUAAUACUCGAUAGUCUCGCAAGAGUAAAGAUUUAUCGCUUUGGGAACGGCCUGCGUUCUAUCAGCUUGUUGGUAAGGUAACGGCUUACCAAGGCUACGACGGAUAGGGGAGCUGAGAGGCUGACC